rnacentral:misc_RNA from 1 species
UUUCCGUAGGUGAACCUGCGGAAGGAUCAUUAUUGUAUAACCGAGGUACGAGGGCUGUCGCUGACCCGAAAGGUCGUGCACGCCCGAGUGCCCUCACCCACAUCCAUCUGACCCCUAUGUGCACCACCGCGUGGGUCCCCCUUUGGCUUGUUCGGAGGGGGGCUUACGUUGUCACACAAACUUUGUAUGCAGUGUAGAAUGUAUUUUUUGUUUUUGCGAUCCCGCAAUCAAUACAACUUUCAACAACGGAUCUCUUGGCUCUC